rnacentral:rRNA from 2 species
UUAAGCGACUAAGCGUACACGGUGGAUGCCUUGGCAGUCAGAGGCGAUGAAGGACGUGCUAAUCUGCGAUAAGCGUCGGUAAGGUGAUAUGAACCGUUAUAACCGGCGAUUUCCGAAUGGGGAAACCCAGUGUGAUUCGUCACACUAUCAUUAACUGAAUCCAUAGGUUAAUGAGGCGAACCGGGGGAACUGAAACAUCUAAGUACCCCGAGGAAAAGAAAUCAACCGAGAUUCCCCCAGUAGCGGCGAGCGAACGGGGAGCAGCCCAGAGCCUGAAUCAGUGUGUGUGUUAGUGGAAGCGUCUGGAAAGGCGUGCGAUACAGGGUGACAGCCCCGUACACAAAAAUGCACAUACUGUGAGCUCGAUGAGUAGGGCGGGACACGUGGUAUCCUGUCUGAAUAUGGGGGGACCAUCCUCCAAGGCUAAAUACUCCUGACUGACCGAUAGUGAACCAGUACCGUGAGGGAAAGGCGAAAAGAACCCCGGCGAGGGGAGUGAAAAAGAACCUGAAACCGUGUACGUACAAGCAGUGGGAGCACGCUUAGGCGUGUGACUGCGUACCUUUUGUAUAAUGGGUCAGCGACUUAUAUUCUGUAGCAAGGUUAACCGAAUAGGGGAGCCGAAGGGAAACCGAGUCUUAACUGGGCGUUAAGUUGCAGGGUAUAGACCCGAAACCCGGUGAUCUAGCCAUGGGCAGGUUGAAGGUUGGGUAACACUAACUGGAGGACCGAACCGACUAAUGUUGAAAAAUUAGCGGAUGACUUGUGGCUGGGGGUGAAAGGCCAAUCAAACCGGGAGAUAGCUGGUUCUCCCCGAAAGCUAUUUAGGUAGCGCCUCGUGAAUUCAUCUCCGGGGGUAGAGCACUGUUUCGGCAAGGGGGUCAUCCCGACUUACCAACCCGAUGCAAACUGCGAAUACCGGAGAAUGUUAUCACGGGAGACACACGGCGGGUGCUAACGUCCGUUGUGAAGAGGGAAACAACCCAGACCGCCAGCUAAGGUCCCAAAGUCAUGGUUAAGUGGGAAACGAUGUGGGAAGGCCCAGACAGCCAGGAUGUUGGCUUAGAAGCAGCCAUCAUUUAAAGAAAGCGUAAUAGCUCACUGGUCGAGUCGGCCUGCGCGGAAGAUGUAACGGGGCUAAACCAUGCACCGAAGCUGCGGCAGCGACGCUUAUGCGUUGUUGGGUAGGGGAGCGUUCUGUAAGCCUGUGAAGGUGUGCUGUGAGGUAUGCUGGAGGUAUCAGAAGUGCGAAUGCUGACAUAAGUAACGAUAAAGCGGGUGAAAAGCCCGCUCGCCGGAAGACCAAGGGUUCCUGUCCAACGUUAAUCGGGGCAGGGUGAGUCGACCCCUAAGGCGAGGCCGAAAGGCGUAGUCGAUGGGAAACAGGUUAAUAUUCCUGUACUUGGUGUUACUGCGAAGGGGGGACGGAGAAGGCUAUGUUGGCCGGGCGACGGUUGUCCCGGUUUAAGCGUGUAGGCUGGUUUUCCAGGCAAAUCCGGAAAAUCAAGGCCGAGGCGUGAUGACGAGGCACUACGGUGCUGAAGCAACAAAUGCCCUGCUUCCAGGAAAAGCCUCUAAGCAUCAGGUAACAUCAAAUCGUACCCCAAACCGACACAGGUGGUCAGGUAGAGAAUACCAAGGCGCUUGAGAGAACUCGGGUGAAGGAACUAGGCAAAAUGGUGCCGUAACUUCGGGAGAAGGCACGCUGAUACGUAGGUGAAGCGACUUGCUCGUGGAGCUGAAAUCAGUCGAAGAUACCAGCUGGCUGCAACUGUUUAUUAAAAACACAGCACUGUGCAAACACGAAAGUGGACGUAUACGGUGUGACGCCUGCCCGGUGCCGGAAGGUUAAUUGAUGGGGUUAGCGCAAGCGAAGCUCUUGAUCGAAGCCCCGGUAAACGGCGGCCGUAACUAUAACGGUCCUAAGGUAGCGAAAUUCCUUGUCGGGUAAGUUCCGACCUGCACGAAUGGCGUAAUGAUGGCCAGGCUGUCUCCACCCGAGACUCAGUGAAAUUGAACUCGCUGUGAAGAUGCAGUGUACCCGCGGCAAGACGGAAAGACCCCGUGAACCUUUACUAUAGCUUGACACUGAACAUUGAGCCUUGAUGUGUAGGAUAGGUGGGAGGCUUUGAAGUGUGGACGCCAGUCUGCAUGGAGCCGACCUUGAAAUACCACCCUUUAAUGUUUGAUGUUCUAACGUGGACCCGUGAUCCGGGUUGCGGACAGUGUCUGGUGGGUAGUUUGACUGGGGCGGUCUCCUCCUAAAGAGUAACGGAGGAGCACGAAGGUUGGCUAAUCCUGGUCGGACAUCAGGAGGUUAGUGCAAUGGCAUAAGCCAGCUUGACUGCGAGCGUGACGGCGCGAGCAGGUGCGAAAGCAGGUCAUAGUGAUCCGGUGGUUCUGAAUGGAAGGGCCAUCGCUCAACGGAUAAAAGGUACUCCGGGGAUAACAGGCUGAUACCGCCCAAGAGUUCAUAUCGACGGCGGUGUUUGGCACCUCGAUGUCGGCUCAUCACAUCCUGGGGCUGAAGUAGGUCCCAAGGGUAUGGCUGUUCGCCAUUUAAAGUGGUACGCGAGCUGGGUUUAGAACGUCGUGAGACAGUUCGGUCCCUAUCUGCCGUGGGCGCUGGAGAACUGAGGGGGGCUGCUCCUAGUACGAGAGGACCGGAGUGGACGCAUCACUGGUGUUCGGGUUGUCAUGCCAAUGGCACUGCCCGGUAGCUAAAUGCGGAAGAGAUAAGUGCUGAAAGCAUCUAAGCACGAAACUUGCCCCGAGAUGAGUUCUCCCUGACCCUUUAAGGGUCCUGAAGGAACGUUGAAGACGACGACGUUGAUAGGCCGGGUGUGUAAGCGCAGCGAUGCGUUGAGCUAACCGGUACUAAUGAACCGUGAGGCUUAACCUU